AGGACGAACGCUGGCGGCGUGCUUAACACAUGCAAGUCGAGCGGAAAGGCCCUUCGGGGUACUCGAGCGGCGAACGGGUGAGUAACACGUGAGCAAUCUGCCCUUAGCUUCGGGAUAGCCCCGGGAAACCGGGAUUAAUACCGAAUACGACCUCGGCCGACAUCGGCUUUGGUGGAAAGUUUUUCGGCUAGGGAUGAACUCGCGGCCUAUCAGCUUGUUGGUGGGGUAAUGGCCUACCAAGGCGACGACGGGUAGCCGGCCUGAGAGGGCGACCGGCCACACUGGGACUGAGACACGGCCCAGACUCCUACGGGAGGCAGCAGUGGGGAAUAUUGCGCAAUGGGCGAAAGCCUGACGCAGCGACGCCGCGUGGGGGAUGAAGGCCUUCGGGUUGUAAACCCCUUUCAGCAGGGACGAAGCGAGAGUGACGGUACCUGCAGAAGAAGCGCCGGCUAACGUACGCGCCAGCAGCCGC
rnacentral:rRNA from 1 species